GCACACACAAAAAGAAAAUGCCUUCCUCCUCUCUCUUUUUGUCUGCAUAAUAUUCUCACACACAUAUGAAACAAACUCUCAUCUCUCAAAUACACACACACAAACUCACAACUAAGCAACCCCCUACCUCUGAUCGUUGACUGACCGGCAACACAGGGCCGGCGACGGGCUGCCGGCGCCCCUAUUCUCCGGCGACUCACCCCACCAGCAACACCCACUUCAUCUAUAACUCACCCCACAAACCCCACCUGUUACACGUUGAAGAACGACCGACAACCACCACUGUCUAGUGGUGGUGCGGCAGCGAAAUCAGCGGACGAAAGAGACAGAAGGAGAGAGAGAUUCGAGAAAGAUCGGAGAAAGGUCGAGAUGAGAGAGAGAGAGAGAGAGAAAUAGGUGACAGAGCGAAGGAGGUGCCAGCCACCAUACGCGGCGGCGGCGGUCGGCGGUGACGGCGGCAGUGGUGCUUGUUCUCCGACGAAAGCUCCGAUAAAACCCCCAUUUCUUUUGCUUUGUUUCUGAAAAAAAAGGUUAUGUUGAUGGUGGCUGGUUAUUGUUGAAGAUGAUGAUUUGAUUUUUUUUUGUUUCGGGAUAUAUCCUAAUCUCGUGGCUCCGGUUUUGGUUCAAGACGAUCAGAUUAGUGCGGUCUCGGGUCUCGCGGUUCGGCCAGAGUUGGUCCAAGGCAGUCAACAGCAAGUCAACAACUUCGGUUCAGGUCAAUCGGCUUCGGAUCAGACUCAGUUUCGGGUUUGUUGACUCGGUCAAACCGAGUCAACUCGGUCAACCGAGCUAACCCGGUCAACUCAGUCAAACGUCUCUAGACGAAAGAUUUGGAAUAUUGUAGAAUGCACGCUAGCAAGUCAAGUCUUGGGAACGACAUCACGAAGUCGUAUUUAGCUAGCUUUGCACAGGAAUAUUCAGGUUUAGUCGAAGUCUACAUCAAAUCAAGCUAGGAAGUCCAGAAACUCACCUAAAAUCUAGGUUGUCGGAUUUGAAUUGUUCGAGAGGACAAGAAAUCUGUGAUAACUUAUGUGAUUGUAUUGUUUGUUAGUAUGGGAUAACAAAUGUAAUGAAUAUUAUCGCAAUAUAGUCGUUAUCGAUUCUCUU
rnacentral:lncRNA from 1 species